rnacentral:rRNA from 1 species
UACGUAGGGGGCAAGCGUUGUCCGGAAUCAUUGGGCGUAAAGAGCGUGUAGGCGGCCCGGUAAGUCCGCUGUGAAAGUCCAGGGCUCAACCCUGGGAUGCCGGUCGAUACUGCCGGACUAGAGUUCGGAAGAGGCGAGUGGAAUUCCUGGUGUAGCGGUGGAAUGCGCAGAUAUCAGGAGGAACACCAAUAGCGAAGGCAGCUCGCUGGGACGUUACUGACACUGAGGCGCGAAAGCGUGGGGAGCGAACAGG